rfam:Schistosoma mansoni strain Puerto Rico chromosome 4, complete genome
AUCCAGGUGACGAGUCCCAAAUAGGACGGCACGCGCGUCCUGGAU